rnacentral:rRNA from 1 species
UACGUAGGGGGCGAGCGUUGUCCGGAUUUAUUGGGCGUAAAGGGCGUGUAGGCGGCCUGCUAAGUCGGAGGUGAAAUCCCUCGGCUUAACCGGGGAACUGCGUCUGAUACUGGAUGGCUUGAGUUCGGGAGAGGGAUGCGGAAUUCCAGGUGUAGCGGUGAAAUGCGUAGAUAUCUGGAGGAACACCGGUGGCGAAGGCGGCAUCCUGGACCGACACUGACGCUGAGGAGCGAAAGCCAGGGGAGCAAACGGG